GACGAACGCUGGCGGCGUGCUUAACACAUGCAAGUCGAGCGGUAAGGCCCUUUCGGGGGUACGACGAGCGGCGAACGGGUGAGUAACACGUGGGUGACCUGCCCUCAGCUCUGGGAUAAGUCUGGGAAACCGGGUCUAAUACUGGAUAUGACUCCAUGACGCAUGUUGUGGGGUGGAAAGCCUUGUGCGGCUGAGGAUGGGCCCCGCGGCCUAUCAGCUUUGUUGGGUGGGGGAUGGCCUACCAAGGCGACGACGGGUAGCCGGCCUGAGAGGGCGACCGGCCACACUGGGACUGAGACACGGCCCAGACUCCUACGGGAGGCAGCAGUGGGGAAUCUUGCGCAAUGGGCGAAACCCUGACGCAGCGACGCCGCGUGAGGGAUGACGGCCUCGGUUGUAA
rnacentral:rRNA from 1 species